GCAGGGGUGCCUGGGUCGGGGGCUGCAGGUGGGAGUGAGCAAAUGUGCUAUCUCGCCACCUCGGGACAGGUGGUAGGGCCUCUGACACAGAGUGGUCCUUCCUGCUGUUCACAGCUCAGCUCACCGUGGGCUGACCAUAGGCAGGUGACAGUCCCCUUUCUGGCCUCGGUUUCCCUGUCUGUAAAUUGGGGACAAUAAGCUCAAGAGCUGUCCCUGCCAGAACCCAGUGGAAAGAAAUCCAGCAGCUGCUAUGGGAAGCGACCCUCCCAGCCUGCCCCGCCCUGCCUGGGGAAGCAGGCCUUCUGCUUGAGGGGGACUGGGCGCACGCUGGGCCUCUGGUCUGCGCAGUCUGCCCGGGGUCUGUGAGUGCUUGUGAGUGGGCUUCUCCGGUCUCCAGAUUCUCGUUGAAAUCCUAACCCCCAAGGCAAUGAUGUUAGGAGGCGGGGCUUCUGGGAGAUGGCGAGUUCGUGAGGCUGCAGCUCUCCUGAGUGGGAUCAGUGUCCUUCUACAAGCGGCUCCAGGGAGGUCCCUUGCCCCUUCCACCAUGUGAGGACCCGAGAUGGUGCCGUCUGUGAACCAGGAAGUGAGCCGCUGCUUGGGGUGAGCAUGCUUCCUGCUGGAUGCUUCUCUAUGUAAGCACCUGCCUGCGCGUCAGCCCUCUUAAGGUGAACCGCUCCGUGUCAUUCUUAUAUUCACAAGUUUGUGCCGCCAUCAUCGUGAUCUGAUUCCAAAACAUGUUCAUCACCUCCAAGAAAGCCUUGUACCUGGCAGCAGUCACUGUCUCUAUGGAUUUGUUUAUUCUGGACAUUUCAUAAAAAUAGAACCAAACAGCAUUUGGC